GUGGGGAAUAUUCCGCAAUGGACGAAAGUCUGACGGAGCAACGCCGCGUGAGUGAUGAAGGUUUUCGGACUGUAAAGCUCUGUUGUUUAGGACGAAAGUGCCUGUUGCAAAUAGUUACAGGUAUUGACGGUACUGAACGAGGAAGCCACGGCUAACUACGUGCCAGCAGCCGCGGUAAUACGUAGGUGGCAAGCGUUGUCCGGAAUUAUUGGGCGUAAAGAGCAUGUAGGCGGGAAUCUAAGUCUGUUGUGAAAAUGCGGGGCUCAACCCCGUAUUGCGAUGGAAACUGGGUUUCUUGAGUGCAGGAGAGGAAAGGGGAAUUCCCAGUGUAGCGGUGAAAUGCGUAGAUAUUGGGAGGAACACCAGUGGCGAAGGCGCCUUUCUGGACUGUGUCUGACGCUGAGAUGCGAAAGCCAGGGUAGCGAACGGGAUUAGAUACCCCAGUAGUCC
rnacentral:rRNA from 1 species